rnacentral:rRNA from 1 species
AAGACCUUACGCUUUUGGAGCGGCCGAUGUCUGAUUAGCUUGUUGGUGAGGUAAAGGCUUACCAAGGCUUCGAUCAGUAGCUGGUCUGAGAGGACGACCAGCCACACUGGGACUGAGACACGGCCCAGACUCCUACGGGAGGCAGCAGUGGGGAAUUUUGGACAAUGGGGGCAACCCUGAUCCAGCCAUGCCGCGUGAGUGAAGAAGGCCUUCGGGUUGUAAAGCUCUUUCAGCCGGAACGAAACGGUUACGGUUAAUACCCGUGACUACUGACGGUACCGGAAGAAGAAGCACCGGCUAACUACGUGCCAGCAGCCGCGGUAAUACGUAGGGUGCAAGCGUUAAUCGGAAUUACUGGGCGUAAAGCGUGCGCAGGUGGUUUUGUAAGUCAGAUGUGAAAUCCCCGGGCUUAACCUGGGAACU